GUGGAUUAGAUACCCUAGUAGUCCACGCCGUAAACGAUGGAUACUAGCUGUUCGGAGCAAUCUGAGUGGCUAAGCGAAAGUGAUAAGUAUCCCACCUGGGGAGUACGAACGCAAGUUUGAAACUCAAAGGAAUUGACGGGGGCCCGCACAAGCGGAGGAGCAUGUGGUUUAAUUCGAUGAUACGCGAGGAACCUUACCAAGGCUUAAAUGGGAAACGACAGGUUUGGAAACAGACUUUUCUUCGGACGUUUUUCAAGGUGCUGCACGGCCGUCGACAACU
rnacentral:rRNA from 1 species